CUUGCGCGGCCGGAGGGAGUAUGCUGGAGUCCCGGGAAUCUCUUCUGGACGUUCAGGCACAGAAGGAAGAACAAUUCCCACUGCAUGUGGCCAUGUGAUGUUGGAUAAUACACAGGAAUCCUACACAUAGGCUACUAGGACCUUUCAGGAACAGCUGGUGUGUCUUCCGUGAAAGAACACACAUGGAGCAGAUCCAAAUCCAAGUCCAAAGAAGAGCUGAGCCCCGUAAGACCUGCCACCUGAAACAGGGCCAUCUGCUGGGUCCAACCUGAAGCCACCAUUUAAUCAUCCCGAAGCAUGAAAGUAGAUGUCUAUUGAUGAAAGAGUUAGAGUUUAGGUGAUUUGCUAGACAGCAAAUCUAACUGUGAAAAUGCCAUUGAGAAAGGAAGGCCCCAGGACUGGGCUGGAUAAAUGAUAGCUCAUGUGGAAAUUCCACUGCAAUUUAAACACAUUGCUAAGCUUGCAUUACUCCUGAAUCUUCAUGAUUAGCAUAUGGCCCUAAAUGGGGGGUUCACAGCAACCACGGAGGAUGCUAAAGCUACUCAUGAGACUGCACUGUUCUUUCUUUGGAUCAGGGUUCCAGCUUCAGCACUGUAGGCACCGGGAGCCACAUCCUUUCUGUGGAAGCUGUCUGGUGUAUCAUAAGACAUUUAGCAGAACCUACCCACUCUAUCUCCUCGGUGACAGAAGAGCCCGCCCCCACAGCAGUUGUCAUAAUUGAAAAAUGCUUGCAGGCAUUUCUAACUAUUCCUGCAGGGAACUGUAGUCCUCAGCUCAUGCUUUUGUUGUCCUUCUGAUCUUGGAAGCUAAGCAGGGCCAGGCCUGGUUAAUACUUGGAUGGGAGAAUUGUGUUCUUAUGGGAAACUGGAAUUUAGUUUGGUUAAGUCAAAUAUACAAUAGUAGACAUCAUCUGGCUGUAUUUUAAAAUCUAGUCAUAUAAUAAUUUAACUUCUACUAAAAAUAAAAAGAUCUGGAAUACAAUCCUAACUGCCCGAAUAGUGGUGCCUAUAGUUAAAAAAAUAAAAGUAAAUAUAUCCUUAUUGAUGGCUGUGGGAAAACCCAAAGGUUAUUAUUAUUUUGGCAGACAGACAUCCUCAGUUGAUCUGCACCUACUCCGAUGUUGGGCAAUGCCUUCCUUGUUACACACGUCAACAGACAGCUUAGUGGGAUAGGUGAUACCAUGGACAUUGUUUCUAAGACACAGCCUCAUAGCCAGCUUAACACUCAAUAAAAAUGAGCAGGGACUAGCCAAUUCUUAAGCAUAAAGUGAGGAACUUCAAAUACCACCUUUCUCCAGGAUUCCAUUUCUAUCAAAGGAUGAAGCAAAGCUUUCAUUUCCUGGAAGUUUAUGUGCUUCGGUAGGAAUGCGAGCAAAUGCCAGUUCAGUGUAAAACCUGACUAUGGGACAUGUGUUUAAAAUAAAUGUCAGAAACAUCUUGUAUUCGUGAUUGUAACCUCCUCAGCCUAUCAGAUACAUCUGAACUACCUUAACCCCAAAAAUUUCUGUUAUUAAAUUUUCAAAUCCAUAUGAGUUUGGGAUCACUCAUUAAAAUUAUUUGAACC
rnacentral:lncRNA from 1 species